UACGGGAGUGGCAAGCGUUAUCCGGAAUUAUUGGGCGUAAAGCGUCCGCAGGCGGUUUCUUAAGUCUGAUGUGAAAGCCCCCGGCUCAACCGGGGAGGGUCAUUGGAAACUGGGAAACUUGAGUGCAGAAGAGGAGAGUGGAAUUCCACGUGUAGCGGUGAAAUGCGUAGAGAUGUGGAGGAACACCAGUGGCGAAGGCGACUCUCUGGUCUGUAACUGACGCUGAGGAGCGAAAGCGUGGGGAGCGAACAGG
rnacentral:rRNA from 1 species